UACGAAGGGGGCUAGCGUUGCUCGGAAUCACUGGGCGUAAAGCGCACGUAGGCGGAUUGCUAAGUCAGGGGUGAAAUCCUGGAGCUCAACUCCAGAACUGCCUUUGAUACUGGCGGUCUCGAGUCCGGGAGAGGUGAGUGGAACUGCGAGUGUAGAGGUGAAAUUCGUAGAUAUUCGCAAGAACACCAGUGGCGAAGGCGGCUCACUGGCCCGGUACUGACGCUGACACGCGAAAGCUAGGGGAGCGAACGGG
rnacentral:rRNA from 1 species